GACGAACCGUGCGAACGUUGUUCGGAAUCACUGGGCUUAAAGGGCGCGUAGGCGGGUCGGCAAGUCAGGGGUGAAAUCGUUCGGCUUAACCGGACAACUGCCUUUGAUACUGCCGGUCUUGAGGGAGGUAGGGGUCUGUGGAACUUCCGGUGGAGCGGUGAAAUGCGUUGAUAUCGGAAGGAACGCCGGUGGCGAAAGCGACGGACUGGACCUCUUCUGACGCUGAGGCGCGAAAGCCAGGGGAGCAAACGGG
rnacentral:rRNA from 1 species